rnacentral:lncRNA from 1 species
UUUCCGUCACUAUUUCCGUUCAUUUCCCAUUGACCGACGCCAGCAGCUGCUUCACGAUAGGGUUUUUCUCUCUCCUAUCUUUCCGGUUGUUGUCUAUUUCCCCACAUUCAUAUCUAUCCGUUUAGCAACUUCAGGUAGAUAGACAGAAAAAGUAGAGUUUUGAAAUUUUCAAAUUUCUUUAUUAUGGUCUCUGGGAAGAAAAGUUUGAACGAUUUUAGCUUUGUUGAGUUUCUUGAUCAAAGACCAUCUUUUUGGUGAAAUUAGUGAAUUUCUUUAUCAGAGGCGAAUUUUGCAGGUUGAAUUUCUUGCGGGAUUAAAGUUGAUUCGAUCUAGGGUUUGAUGUGUUCACAGUUCUAAGGAAAGGGUAUGAUUUCUGCUGCUUCAAUUUUAGUUCUCAGGAUUAAUUAUCCUCAAUUUUGAGUUACAUCUAGC